rnacentral:rRNA from 1 species
AGAGGAAGUAAAAGUCGUAACAAGGUUUCCGUAGGUGAACCUGCGGAAGGAUCAUUAGAGACGGGCCCGCGGCACUGGCGACACUCGUCGGUCUCGCGCGCGCCUCAUCCGACCGAGCGUCGACCGAAAGAUGGUUACACCAUCGAAAGACCGUCCGCGGCCCCCGGGCCGUGGAAAAAUUUCGACAAAAACAAAAACACCCGACCCCGAACGGCGGAUCACUUGGCUCGUGGAUCGAUGAAGACCGCAGCUAUCUGCGCGUCGUCGUGUAAUCCGCAGGUUAUACGAACAUCGACCAGU